rnacentral:rRNA from 1 species
AUUGAACGCUGGCGGCAUGCCUUACACAUGCAAGUCGAACGGCAGCGCGGACUUCGGUCUGGCGGCGAGUGGCGAACGGGUGAGUAAUACAUCGGAACGUACCCUGUUGUGGGGGAUAACUAGUCGAAAGAUUAGCUAAUACCGCAUACGACCUGAGGGUGAAAGUGGGGGACCGGAAACGGCCUCAUGCAGCAGGAGCGGCCGAUGUCUGAUUAGCUAGUUGGUGGGGUAAAGGCCCACCAAGGCGACGAUCAGUAGCUGGUCUGAGAGGACGAUCAGCCACACUGGGACUGAGACACGGCCCAGACUCCUACGGGAGGCAGCAGUGGGGAAUUUUGGACAAUGGGGGCAACCCUGAUCCAGCAAUGCCGCGUGUGUGAAGAAGGCCUUCGGGUUGUAAAGCACUUUUGUCCGGAAAGAAAUCGCGCUGGUUAAUACCUGGCGUGGAUGACGGUGCCGGAAGAAUAAGCACCGGCUAACUACGUG